CCGCCCCCCCCCCGCCAGCUGCCGCUCCUCCUUCUCCUCCCUCAAUCGCGGCCGCCGCCGGAGAGCCGAGCAGCGAACGCGGAGCCGGAGCCAUGAAGGAUCGGACGCAGGAGCUGCGCACGGGCAAGGACAGCGAUGACGAGGAGGAGGUGGCUGUUGGGGUCGAUCGGGAUCGCUUCAUGGACGAGUUUUUUGAGCAGGUGGAAGAGAUUCGGGGUUUCAUAGACAAUAUCUUGGAGAAUGUGGAAGAGGUCAAGCGGAAGCACAGCGCCAUCCUGGCCUCCCCCAACCCCGACGAGAAAACCAAGGAGGAAUUGGAAGAACUAAUGUCCAACAUCAAGAAGACAGCCAACAAAGUGCGCUCCAAGCUAAAGAGUAUUGAGCAGAGCAUCGAACAAGAGGAGGGGCUGAACAGAUCGUCGGCAGACCUGAGGAUAAGGAAGACACAGCAUUCCACCUUGUCACGGAAGUUUGUGGAAGUGAUGUCGGAGUACAACGCCACCCAGUCCGACUACCGGGAGCGCUGCAAGGGAAGGAUUCAGAGGCAACUAGAAAUAACCGGCAGAACCACCACCAGCGAGGAGCUGGAGGACAUGUUGGAGAGCGGGAACCCAGCCAUUUUCUCCUCUGGGAUCAUAAUGGACUCCAACAUUACAAAGCAGGCACUGAAUGAGAUCGAGACACGGCACAGUGAGAUCAUCAAGCUGGAGAACAGCAUCCGUGAGCUUCACGAUAUGUUCAUGGAUAUGGCCAUGCUGGUGGAGAGCCAGGUCUGGGACUGAAUGCCAUGGCUGGGGAUAUGGGCACCGGCCCUCCCGAGACUGCAAGUGGAGUCAUUUGUGAGUAAGGGAAGCACUUUGAGGCCCUGCCAGUGGCUUUGGAAAUACAAACCUGUGUGCAUCCCCUGCUGCGUAGGGCGAGAUGAUAGACCGCAUCGAAUACAACGUGGAGCACGCCGUGGAUUACGUCGAGAGAGCCGUGUCGGACACCAAGAAAGCGGUCAAGUACCAGAGCAAAGCCAGGCGGAAGAAGAUCAUGAUCAUCAUUUGCUGCGUGGUGCUGGGCGUCGUCAUCGCUUCCACAGUUGGCGGGAUCUUUGCCUAGAAGCCCAUGGCCGGGACUCUUGUCUCUUGGGGAUGGGGAGGGGAGGGGAAGGGUGCCUGGGGCCCAGCCACCCACGUCCCCAGCUGCCCUGGCGUGCCUGGGCCUCACAGCAGUCUCUGCAGGGAGAAAAAACUGGCUGGCCACCUCCUCCAUCUCUAAUGCAUGAUUGUUCGUGUUAAUGCUGCGUGUCCAAGUACGGGGGGGGUGCAUGUGGCCUGCACCAGGACCCAGCACCAGCAGCAGCGUCACAGAGGAGGCCCUUUCAUGGCUCCCGCCCCACACCUCUUGACAACCUUGCCUCCUCGUGCUUACAGCCUCUCUCUUCCACUUGGCAAGGGGAACCACUCCUGUUUCAGUCCCAGCGAGGUCCUCUUCCUGCUCCCCCUCCAAAGAUGAGCAAAACCAGGCCCUGUUCCCUGCCCCCAGGGCUGAGGCUUGGCCCAUUACACGGAAGGAAAGCUCCUGGAACAGCUGCUGAUCCCUUUGUGUGAACGGGAACAGUAUUUCUCUGCUGCCCCCCCCCAAGCUGCAGCCCCUGCAGGGACCCCUCAGUGGUGGUGCCCAUUUGCCCUGACUUUUGGUUCCACUGAGCAGCCAUUAGCUGCUCUUUUCUGCACCAGGUGCUUGUUUUGUGUUGUCCUCCCAUGUCUAGGAGUGCAGCAUGCUGCCUUAGCCCAAGCCAGACUCCUGGUCCCUCUAGCUCAGUACUGUUCACACUGACUGGCAGCAGCUCUCUAGGGUUUCAGACUCAGGGGUCUUUCCCAGCCCUGUCUGGAGACGCCCCUGGGGACUGAACCUGGGUCCCCUCUCCCCACCCCCCCCUCCACCAGCAUCAGCUACUGGGCCUGCCUCUUGCCAUAUUCCAAGCUGGUAUAUUUAUUUAAAAUAUGACUCCAACCUUUUUGCUUAAAAAAGCCUCGGUGUAACUCCAGAUUAACACAAAAGCAAUGGUUUUAUUUUAUGCUUUUUUAAAAAAGCACUUUUAGAAAUCAGGAGGAGCAGGGAGCCAGCUCUUAUAGAAACAGGCCAUUGCCGCUGCUUCCCAUUAUUUUUUAAGAUUUUUUUAGAUGUUCACUCAAGGUUUGUAAGCAGACACUGAAAAGCGUGUCCAGUGGACUCACAGCCAACCAGCAGGGUGUGUGUUUAUGUGCGCAGUCCACACAUCUUGUGGUCCAAAGGGGUUUGAAUUUCCGUGGGUGAAAUAGAGCCUCGUUGCAGAAUUUCCAAAAUGUCCUCCAAGGAGCACCAAUUCGGCACCUUGCCUGCCCUCCUCCUUCCCAAGCUGCUCACGCCAGAGAUCGCUGAUCUCUGCGCUACCAGAUGUUGCCGGACUCCAGUGCCCAUCCCUGACCAUUGCCCGUGUUGGCAAGGCUGACGAGGGUCAACAGUGCCUGGUGGGCCACCAGUUCCCUACCCCUGUAACAGUUUCAGCCUGCUGGCUUCCUGAGUGAGGGGUGUGCUUGCCUUGCCUGACUAAUCAUGCCACCUGCCACCUUUUUUCUCUUUGGUCAAACGCAUGCGCUCGCACACUGAGCUAAGCCUGCGCCUGCUGCCACCCUGUGAGGCAAUUUCAGAGGUGGCUGAGCAAAGAUUGCCCCCUCCCCCCCAAAAUGUGGAAGCACAGAACUGGGUCGAGAUCCGUCCCGCCCCUUCUCAGGCCCAGUAGAGGAGCUGUGGGGUGCUUUUGGGUUCCUCUACAGCAGAGGUGGGAGAGCAGGCGUGGCUGGCCUCCAACUCCCCAUCAGCCAGCACAGCCGAUGAUCGGGGAUGAUGGGAGUUGCAGUCCAACGAGGAGCUGCUUCCCGUGACAAGGAGAGGAUUUGCACUCCUUCAUCUGCAGCGAGUUAAGGGUGACGCCAGUUCUAUAUGCAACGCAGCAAGUGCCAACCCCGUCUUGAACCUGGCUCUUCCAGUGGCUCCACAGCACCAGCAAGUCUCUGGGAAAAGCAGCACCGUAACCGACCUGGAUCACGCGCUUGCUGCUGAGGCCUCCCUCUGCCAGGGGAGUGAAGAUGCUGAUAAAGGGAGGCGUCUUGUAACCGCAGGACCUUGUUCUGCCUCCUGAAGCGGAGGGCUCUCUCCUUGCUGGCCAGGACCCCAGAGCAAGCAGGAUGAAGCCUGUCCCACUCCCAAGGAGAGUUAAGCUGCAUCCGCUGCAGGACCGAGGCGGCUUGUGCGGUGUGCAUCUUCUCCCAGGCUUCAGUCUGCAGCAAUGGCGUGCAGCCUCGCUGGCCCUUCUGAGCAAGCCGUUUUGUUCGAGAGCCACACAGCAGCUAAAUCAACAGUCUUCAAGGAGCUGAGCAGACCAGUUGCCGAGAUGGAGCAGAGACCCUCUCUCCCUCCCCGAUGAUGGACGGACCUUCCUUCCCCUGCAGAAGGUCAGGGGUGACGAAACAACCUCUUUCCAUAGAGUACAUACAAUUACGUCUUGUGCAGUGCUGCUCCCGACCCCGUUCCCCCAAGACCCUAAACUCACUCUUCUGCAAGCAACGCAGGAGUGAUGAGCCACUAGUACCAGCUGCUGCCCUUCCUCUUCUGCCAGGCCUUCCUUGCCUUUUUCUUGCAUGUCCAAAUCGGAGCCGUCAGAGGCGUGUCAGGGCUUCAGAAGCUGUCCCACCCUGCCAGUUGUCAGUUUUUCUUUUUUAAAAAAAGAGAGCGCCCGGAAGUGCCACCAUCAGUAUUCUGCCUCCUUGCAGGGAGAGAACAUUUACCAAAACUUCUUUUCGACACAUCUUUGCGGAGGCCUCCCGUGGAGUCGUGUGACGUUGCUGUGGCGCUGUGUGAUACAAGUGCCCUUGUCUCUCUGCCGUGACCCUCGCAAACUGCCUCGCUGACCCACCUCAGCGGAUGUGGCGCUGUCUGUCUGUUGCCUUCUUUCUAACAUUCCAGCCUGCUUAUUUAUCCACCCUAUAAAACUUCAGGUGGAAAACAGCUUCCAUUUAUGGAUGGAAUUUAAUGUAGAAUAAAAAAGUGUUUACAUCUGUGAA